CCAGCCUUAAAAUCACACCGGUUAAAAGUAGACGGGGAAGGCCAAAAAGGCAAAGAAACUUUACUUUCAACAAAAAAGCCAAGAAACGUCUGCAUGAACCAGAUACAGAGUUGAACGAUCUGCCUUCAUUCCUUGUCCCAUUACAAUGCCAAGUGAUGCCAACACCAGAUACAGGUUUUAGUGUUGGAGGGAUUACUCUCUAUGAUCUUGACCUGGACACCCUUAAACCAGGAAUGUGGCUUAAUGACAAUGUUAUACAUGCCUACCUUGGACUCGUGGCAGAAGAAUCUGUCAAGCCAGUUUACAUACUACAGUGCUUUAUUGAAGGGUUUUGGAGAAAAGGACAGUACACUGUGUGGCAGUACAAAAAUGUGCAGUUUGAGAUGUACCAGUGGAUAUUGCUGCCUGUGUGCAGGAAUUCACACUGGUUCCUUCUGGCAGCAAAUGUUGAGUUGCGCAAUGGACUCGCAGCCAAGUGUGACUAGGCAGA